GUGGGGAAUCUUGCGCAAUGGGCGAAAGCCUGACGCAGCAACGCCGCGUGGGGGACGAAGGCCUUCGGGUUGUAAACCCCUUUCAGCAGGGACGAAAAUGACGGUACCUGCAGAAGAAGCCCCGGCCAACUACGUGCCAGCAGCCGCGGUAAUACGUAGGGGGCGAGCGUUGUCCGGAUUUAUUGGGCGUAAAGAGCUCGUAGGCGGUUUGGCAAGUCGGGUGUGAAAACUCCGGGCUCAACUCGGAGACGCCACUCGAUACUGCCAUGACUCGAGUCCGGUAGGGGAGUGCGGAAUUCCUGGUGUAGCGGUGAAAUGCGCAGAUAUCAGGAGGAACACCGGUGGCGAAGGCGGCACUCUGGGCCGGUACUGACGCUGAGGAGCGAAAGCGUGGGGAGCGAACAGGAUUAGAAACCCCUGUAGUCC
rnacentral:rRNA from 1 species